rnacentral:rRNA from 1 species
GGAGUCUGGGCCGUGUCUCAGUCCCAAUGUGGCCGUUCACCCUCUCAGGCCGGCUAUGCAUCAUCGCUUUGGUGGGCCGUUACCCCGCCAACUGGCUAAUGCACCAUAAGCCCAUCUGUUUGUGUUUUGAACCUUUAAUAAUACGAGGAUGCCCUCAUAUUACCUAUCCGGUAUUAGCGCUCGUUUCCAAGUGUUAUCCCGGUCCUUACAGGCAGGUUGCUUAUGUAUUACUCACCCGUUCGCCACUCGGUACAAGUACCCCGUUCGACUUGCAUGUGUUAAGCACGCCGCCAGCGUUCGUCCUGAGCCAUGAUCAAACUACU